UACGUAGGGGCAAGCGUUGUCCGGAUUUAUUGGGCGUAAAGAGCGUGUAGGCGGCCAUGUAGGUCCGUUGUGAAAACUCGAGGCUCAACCUCGAGACGCCGAUGGAAACCAUGUGGCUAGAGUCCGGAAGAGGAGAGUGGAAUUCCCGGUGUAGCGGUGAAAUGCGCAGAUAUCGGGAAGAACACCCGUGGCGAAGGCGGCUCUCUGGGACGGUACUGACGCUGAGACGCGAAAAGCGUGGGGAGCGAACAGG
rnacentral:rRNA from 1 species